rnacentral:tRNA from 1 species
GACCGCGCUGCUGCAGCGGCGGCAGGCGGCGCGCGCGCUGCCGGCGACCCCGCGGAUCCCGACCGCGGGCGGCCACC